rnacentral:rRNA from 1 species
UACGUAGGGUCCUAGCGUUGUCCGGAAUUACUGGGCGUAAAGAGCUCGUAGGUGGUUUGUCGCGUUGUUCGUGAAAACUCACAGCUCAACUGUGGGCGUGCGGGCGAUACGGGCAGACUUGAGUACUGCAGGGGAGACUGGAAUUCCUGGUGUAGCGGUGGAAUGCGCAGAUAUCAGGAGGAACACCGGUGGCGAAGGCGGGUCUCUGGGCAGUAACUGACGCUGAGGAGCGAAAGCUAGGGGAGCGAACCGG